AGUGAACGCUGGCGGCAGGCCUAACACAUGCAAGUCGAGCGGCAGCGGGUCCUUCGGGAUGCCGGCGAGCGGCGGACGGGUGAGGAAUGCAUCGGAAUCUGCCCUGUCGUGGGGGAUAACCUAGGGAAACUUAGGCUAAUACCGCAUACGACCCACGGGUGAAAGCGGGGGAUCGCAAGACCUCGCGCGAUAGGAUGAGCCGAUGUCCGAUUAGCUAGUUGGCGGGGUAAAGGCCCACCAAGGCGACGAUCGGUAGCUGGUCUGAGAGGAUGAUCAGCCACACUGGGACUGAGACACGGCCCAGACUCCUACGGGAGGCAGCAGUGGGGAAUAUUGGACAAUGGGCGCAAGCCUGAUCCAGCCAUGCCGCGUGGGCGAAGAAGGCCUUCGGGUUGUAAAGCCCUUUUGUCCUGGAAGAAAUCGUCUGGGCUAAUACCCCGGGCGGAUGACGGUACCGGAAGAAUAAGCACCGGCUAACUUCGUG
rnacentral:rRNA from 1 species